GAUCCUGGCUCAGGAUGAACGCUGGCGGCGUGCUUAACACAUGCAAGUCGAACGGACUUGGAUGUCGGAAGUUUUCGGAUGGAAGAUAUUCAAGUUAGUGGCGGACGGGUGAGUAACGCGUGGGUAACCUGCCCUGUACCGGGGGAUAACACUUAGAAAUAGGUGCUAAUACCGCAUAAGUGCACAGAGUCGCAUGACUUAGUGUAAAAAACUCCGGUGGUAUAAGAUGGACCCGCGUCUGAUUAGCUUGUUGGUGAGAUAACGGCCCACCAAGGCGACGAUCAGUAGCCGGCCUGAGAGGGUGAACGGCCACAUUGGGACUGAGACACGGCCCAAACUCCUACGGGAGGCAGCAGUGGGGAAUAUUGCACAAUGGGGGAAACCCUGAUGCAGCGACGCCGCGUGAGUGAUGAAGUAUUUCGGUAUGUAAAACUCUAUCAGCAGGGAAGAUAAUGACGGUACCUGACUAAGAAGCACCGGCUAAAUACGUG
rnacentral:rRNA from 1 species